rnacentral:rRNA from 1 species
CACGUAGGGUGCGAGCGUUGUCCGGAAUUAUUGGGCGUAAAGAGCUCGUAGGCGGUGUGUCGCGUCGGCCGUGAAAACCUGCAGCUUAACUGUGGGCUUGCGGUCGAUACGGGCAUCACUGGAGUUCGGCAGGGGAGACUGGAAUUCCUGGUGUAGCGGUGAAAUGCGCAGAUAUCAGGAGGAACACCGGUGGCGAAGGCGGGUCUCUGGGCCGGUACCGACGCUGAGGAGCGAAAGCGUGGGGAGCGAACAGG